rnacentral:rRNA from 1 species
AAAGUCUAAAAUGACUCUCGGCAACGGAUAUCUCGGCUCUCGCAUCGAUGAAGAACGUAGCGAAAUGCGAUACUUGGUGUGAAUUGCAGAAUCCCGUGAACCAUCGAGUCUUUGAACGCAAGUUGCGCCCCAAGCCUUCUGGCCGAGGGCACGUCUGCCUGGGUGUCACAA